UAACACACCUUUCAUGUUCUUCACAACACUGCUGUCUCAUUGGCUGAUCUGUGACAGAUUUGUCAAAUCACAGCAUUGCCACACCCACCUCAGCCAGCCCUCUAUAAAAAUGUCAUGCUCUAGUAUAGUUUACACACAGCAGCUGUACCUGAGAACUGGACAGGCUAAGACACAAAAACUACUGAAGAAUCUAGAAGAAAUAGAUUUUGAUCUUCAAAACUUUGAAAAUGGGAAGUAAUAACUCUGGUGAAGAUCGGGAACGCAGAAGAGCUGAAGAAGCUGAGCAGGAACGCAUCAGAGCAGAAAGGGAAAAAAACAGAAUGGCGGAAGAACUUAAUAGAUUAAGACAAGAAAGUGAAUUAGAGCGAUUGAGAGAGGAGAGAAAAGCAGCGGAGCAGCGCAACAGAAGCGAAGCAGAAAGACGAGCACUCCAGGAACAAUAUGACAAAAUACAAAAUGAGAGAAACAUGCAGAGAAUGAAA